UCCUCAUAGCCUUUUUUUGUUUCAUGGUU
rnacentral:piRNA from 1 species